UACGGGGGGGGCAAGCGUUGUUCGGAAUUACUGGGCGUAAAGGGCUCGUAGGCGGCCAACUAAGUCGGAUGUGAAAUCCCCAGGCUUAACCUGGGAACUGCAUCCGAUACUGGAUGGCUUGAAUCCGGGAGAGGGAUGCGGAAUUCCAGGUGUAGCGGUGAAAUGCGUAGAUAUCUGGAGGAACACCGGUGGCGAAGGCGGCUACCUGGCCAGACAUUGACGCUGAGAGACGAAAGCGUGGGGAUCAAACAGG
rnacentral:rRNA from 1 species